GGGGACUGAGAAAUCCUGUUGAGCUGCGUUCCCAAGAGGAAAGGAAGUUGUUUUGGUGGAUACCUCGCAGCUUCAGCCACAGCAGUGGAACGAAGCAGAAUUGUCUUGGGGCUGCAGUUGAUAAAGGAAUCUACAAUCAACUUUUUAACCCAGUCCAGAGUUGUUGUAUGUACACUCGAGACCCAAAGGAAGGACAGAGAAUUUUCCUCACCUCAGCCCAAAAGGAGGCUGGAAUGCAUGCUUGCCUGCCACAGUUUCCACUUACUUACCACCAUCAGUCAGCAGGCUUUUAGGAGAGAAUUGCACGUGUGAUUUAUUUGCAAAUCCUUUCAGGUCCUGGAGGAGAGAUACUUGGUACACAAUGCACUUUGUCAUCACGUGUCAACAUCCCCUCAAUGCAGGGAGCAGCACUACACGAUGUAAAGGUGGAACUGGAUUGUGCUGGGAUCCUUCAAUCAGCAUUUCAUUUAGAGCUGCAGCAUUUGCAGAGCCAUUUGCAAUUGAUGCCAGCCCCUUGGAGGGGGUCAGCGUGUAGAAGACAAAGGACAGCCAUAAAGCCACUGAAUGCAAACUUUAUAUUUA
rnacentral:lncRNA from 10 species